GGAGAGUUUGAUCCUGGCUCAGAUUGAACGCUGGCGGCAUGCUUAAUACAUGCAAGUCGAACGGUAACAGGCAUCGGUGAUCCCUUCGGGGUAAUCCUGGCGCUGACGAGUGGCGAACGGGUGAGUAAUGCUUGGGAAUCUGCCCGGUAGUGGGGGACAACCCGAGGAAACUCGGGCUAAUACCGCGUACGCUCUACGGAGGAAAGCGGGGGAUCUUCGGACCUCGCGCUAUCGGAUGAGCCCAAGUCGGAUUAGCUUGUUGGUGGGGUAAUGGCCUACCAAGGCGACGAUCCGUAGCUGGUCUGAGAGGACGAUCAGCCACACUGGGACUGAGACACGGGCCAGACUCCUACGGGAGGCAGCAGUGAGGAAUAUUGCGCAAUGGGCGAAAGCCUGACGCAGCAACGCCGCGUGGAGGAUGAAGGCUUUCGGGUUGUAAACUCCUUUCAGGAGGGAAGAAGCAGGCUGGGUACCAGUCGGACGGUACCUCCAGAAGAAGCCACGGCUAACUCUGUGCCAGCAGCCGCGGUAAGACAGAGGUGGCAAGCGUUGUUCGGAUUUACUGGGCGUAAAGGGUGCGUAGGCGGUUGAAUGAGAUGUAUGAGAAAGCUCACAGCUUAACUGUGAAAGUUCGUACAUGACUAUUUAGCUAGAGGAUGGGAGAGGAAAGCGGAAUUCCCGGUGGAGCGGUGAAAUGCGUAGAUAUCGGGAGGAAGGCCUGUGGCGAAGGCGGCUUUCUGGAACAUUUCUGACGCUGAAGCACGAGAGCGUGGGGAGCAAACAGGAUUAGAUACCCUGG
rnacentral:rRNA from 1 species